UACGAAGGGGGCUAGCGUUGUUCGGAUUUACUGGGCGUAAAGCGCACGCAGGCGGUCUUUUUAGUCAGAAGUGAAAGUCCUGGGCUCAACCUGGGGAUUGCUUUUGAUACUGGAAGACUAGGGUUCGCGAGAGGAUGGCGGAAUUCCCAGUGUAGAGGUGAAAUUCGUAGAUAUUGGGAAGAACACCGGUGGCGAAGGCGGCCAUCUGGCGCGAUACCGACGCUCAUGUGCGAAAGCGUGGGGAGCAAACAGGAUUAGAUACCCUGGUAGUCCACGCUGUAAACGAUGGAUGCUAGAUGUUGGGGCGCUUGCGUCUCAGUGUCGCAGCUAACGCGUUAAGCAUCCCGCCUGGGGAGUACGGCCGCAAGGUUAAA
rnacentral:rRNA from 1 species